rnacentral:rRNA from 1 species
GUGCUUCAUGACUGGGGUAAAGUCCGUAACAAGGUAGCCGUAGGGGAACCUGUGGCUGGAUCACCUCCUU